rnacentral:lncRNA from 8 species
AAUGUACAGACACACACCCACACACACACACCCACACACACAGACACCAAUAACCCCUACCGACUUACCUUCUCAGCAACAUCAUACAUCAACGAUCAAAAUAAAAAAAAUCGACAGAGCAAAAAGAAAAUACUAAAUGAAACAGCAGCAAUUUACAUCCAGUCCAGUCUAGUCCAGUCCAGGCCUUGUCUAUACAACCGAAUCUCCCCUCUCCUCCCUCUCUCCACAGUGUCAAAUCCAGAACUUAGUAUCUCUCUUCUCUUAAGUCAUGGACCCCCUCACCUUCUCCCUCUCUCCUCCACAGUGUCAAAUCCAGAACUUAGUAUCUCUCUUCUCUUAAGUCAUGGACUCCCCCACCUCCUCCCUCUCUCCUUCUCAGACCAGGGUGCUCCUCUUCUCCCUCCCCAGGUCAGGGGUGGGCGUCAGCGCCGGCGGCUCGUAGUGGUUCCUGUUGUACUCGUAGUGGUUCCUGCUGAGUUCUGGCUUCCUGCUGGGUUCUGGGUUCCUGCUGGGUUCUGGCUUCCUGCUGGGUUCUGGCUUCCUGCUGGGUUCUGGGUUCCUGCUGGGUUCUGGCUUCCUGCUGGGUUCUGGGUUCCUUCUAGGUUCCAAGUUCCUGCUGGGUUCUGGCUUCCUGCUGGGUUCCAGGUUCCUGCUGGGUUCUGGCUUUCUGCUGGGUUCCAGGUUCCUGCUGGGUUCCAGGUUCCUGCUGGGUUCUGGCUUUCUGCUGGGUUCUGGACCAGCCAUGUUGUUCUGAUUCUGCUGCUCAUAGCGAGACGAGGCAGGAGAGUUCUGCAUGACCACAAGGCGUAUGGGCGACUGGCUGGGGGGUGCGGGGGGCGCGGGGGCGUACUCCUUGGUGGGGUCCUUCCCCUGGCAGUCGUACAGGAUGCAGGAGAUGAGGAAGACAAGGAGGAGGAUGGCGUAGCUGGCCACCAGGAUGAUGAGGUUCAGGGUCACGGGGUCAAUCUCCAAGUAGAAUUCCAUGAAACCCAUGGCGACGCUUCAUAUCUCGCUGCCGCCCACGGGAAAAAUGACAGGGCACCGGCCGGAGGAGCCAGAGCCUUAGGAUGGAGGGAUGAUGGAAGACAAUGA